rnacentral:rRNA from 1 species
UCGCGCCUACGGGACGCAGCAGUAGGGAAUUUUCGUCAAUGGGCGCAAGCCUGAACGAGCAAUGCCGCGUGAACGAGGAAGGUCUUCGGAUCGUAAAGUUCUGUUGAAGGGGAAAAAGAGCGGAGAGAGGAAAUGAACUCCGAUUGAUAUUACCCUUCGAGGAAGUCACGGCUAACUACGUGCCAGCAGCCGCGGUAAUACGUAGGUGGCGAGCGUUAUCCGGAAUGAUUGGGCGUAAAGGGUGCGUAGGCGGCCUGCUAAGUCUGGAGUGAAAGGUACCGGCUCAACCAGUACAGGCUCUGGAA